rnacentral:rRNA from 1 species
UGGGGAAUUUUGCGCAAUGCUCGAAAGAGUGAACCAGCCAAGUCGCGUGAGGGAAGAAUGUCCUAUGGAUUGUAAACCUCUUUUGUCAGGGAGCAAAGUCAUCCACGUGUGGGUGUUGGAGAGUACCUGAAGAAAAAGCAUCGGCUAACUCCGUGCCAGCAGCCGCGGUAAUACGGAGGAUGCGAGCGUUAUCCGGAUUUAUUGGGUUUAAAGGGUGCGUAGGCGGGUUAUCAAGUCAGUGGUAAAAUCGUGGAACUCAACUCCAUCCAGCCGUUGAAACUGAUGAUCUUGAGUGGGCGAGAAGUAUGCGGAAUGCGUGGUGUAGCAGUGAAAUGCAUAGAUAUCACGCAGAACUCCGAUUGCGAAGGCAGCAUACCGGCGCCCGACUGACGCUGAAGCACGAAAGCGUGGGUAUCGAACAGGA